AGUCACUGACAUUAGAUACCCGCCGUAGUCCAGGGUGUAAACGCUGCAGACUUGGUGUUGGAGGCCCUUUGGGGGUCGAUUCAGUGCCGGAGAGAAGUUGUUAAGUCUGCUACUUGGGAGUACGUCCGCAAGGAUGAAACUUAAAGGAAUUGGCGGGGGAGCACCGCAACGGGAGGAGCGUGCGGUUUAAUUGGAUUCAACACCGCAAAACUCACCAGGGAAGACUGUUACAUGAAGGCCGAGAUGAAGACUCUGCUAGAUUUUCAG
rnacentral:rRNA from 1 species